UGCUGAUAUUCUUGCUUUUUAUCGUUUCAUUACAUGUCUAUAAAGGAAUGUUAUCUCUAGUACUUAUUAUUCCUUUUUAACACAUUCUGGAAAUAACUACUAAUGUGUACUAUCUAUGUAGAACACCGAUAUCCAUACCAAAUAAGUAGAAGCAUGUUACCAUAAAAGAUAAGUCAUGCUUGCAGGAGGGUCCAAGAUCAACUAAAGAGAAUAGUUUGUGAAAAAUAGAAGUUAGUGCUGAAGUAAACUGGAGGUUGUGUCAGCACUCAGCAGUAAGGCUUCGAUGGUUAUUUGGUAACACUGCUUCCUUAGUAUUUGGUUCUUAAUAAUUGAUUGCUUCAUGGUAUGAUUUUAUAAAUACAGAUUGGCAGAAUUGGAGAAGCAAAAUGAAAAUCCAUGACACUGUUAGUUAGUUUAAUCAAUGAAAAAGGCAGAGUUGAGUAAAUGAUUGAAGAAAAAUUUCAAGUGAGGGUUGUAGCUCAAGGUCGACGAUCAAAUGAUAAAAAUUAAUCUUUAUGGAGGAGUGAUGAAAUCAAAAUCAACCGAGACAUGAAUAAAUUAUUUUUCUAUUGCAAAAGUAUAUUAACAUGUUUGAGUAAAAUGAUGUUUCGCAUCUUUAAUGAUAUUGUUGAACAUUUAUUUAUUUAUUUCAAUGUAUUGCAUUUAUUGAAAAUUGUAAGAUAUGCUACUGUUUCAUGCUAAAAAUAAA